UACGUAGGGCGCAAGCGUUGUCCGGAAUUAUUGGGCGUAAAGAGCUCGUAGGCGGUCUGUUGCGUCCGCUGUGAAAACCCAGGGCUUAACCCUGGGCUGGCAGUGGAUACGGGCAGACUAGAGGUAGGUAGGGGAGAAUGGAAUUCCCGGUGUAGCGGUGAAAUGCGCAGAUAUCGGGAGGAACACCGGUGGCGAAGGCGGUUCUCUGGGCCUUACCUGACGCUGAGGAGCGAAAGCAUGGGGAGCGAACAGG
rnacentral:rRNA from 1 species